CGGCCAUCUUGAUUGGAAUCGCGCCCUGUUCCCUUGGUUACGGAUUUUUGCCCCGGCUCUUUCCCGGAAUUACAGCAUUAGUGAAGCCUUCAGAUGACUGCAGAUAACAUUUUGACUGCAACCUUAUCAGAGACCUGGAGCCAGAACCACCUACCUAAACUGCUCCCAAGUUCCUGAUUCACGGAAACUGUGAAAGAAGCACCAGUCUAAAAGUCUCUAGUAUGUGGUGACCAGCAAGUGAAGAAGAAUAAGUGGAUGCAAAUUAAGAACUCAUCACUGUAAUCCCAACACUUUGGGAGGC